CGGCGGCCAUGGCCCAGGUGAGACGCCCGGUCCCAUUCCGAACCCGGAAGCUAAGGCCUGGCACGGCGAUGGUACUGCACCCGACAGGGUGUGGGAGAGUAGCACGCCGCCGCA
rnacentral:rRNA from 3 species